GUGGGGAAUCUUGCGCAAUGGGCGAAAGCCUGACGCAGCCAUGCCGCGUGAAUGAUGAAGGUCUUAGGAUUGUAAAAUUCUUUCACCGGGGACGAUAAUGACGGUACCCGGAGAAGAAGCCCCGGCUAACUUCGUGCCAGCAGCCGCGGUAAUACGAAGGGGGCUAGCGUUGCUCGGAAUUACUGGGCGUAAAGGGCGCGUAGGCGGACAGUUUAGUCAGAGGUGAAAGCCCAGGGCUCAACCUUGGAAUUGCCUUUGAUACUGGCUGUCUUGAGUGCGGGAGAGGUGAGUGGAACUCCGAGUGUAGAGGUGAAAUUCGUAGAUAUUCGGAAGAACACCAGUGGCGAAGGCGACUCACUGGCCCGUUACUGACGCUGAGGCGCGAAAGCGUGGGGAGCAAACAGGAUUAGAAACCCGGGUAGUCC
rnacentral:rRNA from 1 species